GACGAACCGAGCGAACGUUGUUCGGAAUCACUGGGCUUAAAGGGCGCGUAGGCGGAUCCUUAAGUCGGUGGUGAAAUCCUGAAGCUCAACUUCAGAACUGCCUUCGAUACUGGGGACCUUGAGUUCGGGAGAGGUGAGUGGAACUGCGAGUGUAGAGGUGAAAUUCGUAGAUAUUCGCAAGAACACCAGUGGCGAAGGCGGCUCACUGGCCCGAUACUGACGCUGAGGUGCGAAAGCGUGGGGAGCAACAG
rnacentral:rRNA from 1 species